GUUUCAGUCAUUCAAAGCAAUUUGAGUAGAUGUUCCCCUUUUCACGCACAAACUAAACUGAAAAACUAUGGCCGAUGGCUUGGACUUCACGAUACCGGCAUUCCCGGAAAAUAAAACGAUAAAUCCCUAUAGCUACACGUCGCCGUAUGUUGGCAAAUCUGAGAGCCCGGGCAUGAGUUCGAGCAUCUGGAUGGUGCUCGGUGGCUUGAUUCUGGCAGCUCGUAUGCUGUGGUUAGCCCUGCGGGCAACAAAUUCUGAGCCCAUUGAAGAGUUCUGCCUGGAAGGGCAGCAUGCGGAGUGUGCUGAGGAGGAACUGAAGCAUCGGAAGAGAGAAAGAACUGAAACCAGCAGACGGAAGAAACAAUCGUUGAAUCCAUUUGGUGCAUAGUCAGCCCCUCCCUAACUAUGCCCCGCAGUCAUACCGUUAUCAUUUGGGGCACACAUAAUGUCGUCUCCCACACACAGACUGAAACGAGUUUUCAAAAAUACCCAACUAAUGACUUGUGUUCAUCAGAUUUUUUGGCUGCAUAAUAAAAUAAAUUCAACGUUUAAAUA